CAUGCCCCUAGAGAUAUUGCAGUAGUGGCUGUUGUGUGGCAUAUGUGUCUGUAGGUGACAGAGGAGAGAGGCUAUGUCUAUGCUCAGUGUUCUGACCUGUGAACGUCUGAAUGAUUAUUUGCCUAACAUU